ACAAACAACUCCACCUGAAAUGUGGAAAGAGGGGCAUGGGAAGAAGAGAAGAGAAAAGAAAUUCAUUCUCUAAAUGCAGAAAAUCUCCACCAUGAACAAAGUUCUGCUAAACUUUAAACUGGUUUUAUUCAUACCAAUUCAGGAAUCAAGGUACUUCCUAUAAUAGUCUGCAGAGAAACAGAACCAGAGCAGCUGCUAUUAUCCAACUCUGUCAGAGAAAGAAUUCUCUUCUUUGUCGCAAUUGUCUCAUUUUGAUGGAACAUGAGUUUAUGAAGGAUUACAGACCAAAUGGAACACCAGAACCAUUGUUUGCAGAACUCCCUAACAAAGCAAGUGGAUCUGAAUCACAAGUGUGGCCUCAAGUCAAUGACCUGCUGUAUUUCAGACAUUCUUUGUGUUUUUGAUAUUCUCAUUUCACUACUUCUACUCACAAAAACUGUUAAUAUGCCUUAGAAGUCAGCACGCAUCCAUUUCAGAAGUUGCCUACAUUAUGAACUGACCUGUACUAUAUAGGAAAGCCUGGAAACUUCAUGAAGAAGAGAAACUUUCAAAGACCAUCCAAAAUCUAGUAUUCCUGAGCUCUCCAUCUCAGAAAUUCAGAGUUCUAUUUAUCUCUCUACUAAAUCCUUUAACAUUGGAGUCCCCAUAUAUGUACAUAAGGAGGAAAGUUCUUACUACAUAUUGGACUUCGAAGUCUUCAGCUCUGGACAUUGCCCAGAAAAUUUUACCCAAGGUGCUGUGUAAAGCUUGUGAAACCCAUUCCAUUCAGAAUAACAAUACCAGCCAACUCUAGUGUAUUUUUCCUAUUUCACUGACUGCUAAUGCUGACCUGCAACAGGGAGUUCUGGGUUGAAUGACUUACGGCUUCCUCAAUUAGUUUUUAGUCUGGCAGACACUGCCACACAGCCCACCAUUUCCCUGGGCAAAUUACCUGUCUGUUUAUAGCAGCAGCCCACAGAACUGAAGUGUAAUACUGACAAACCAAUUUUUCAAAUGAAUUUGUAGAGACUUCCGCCGAAAGCAAGACAGCAGAAAAAAAAAAAAAAAGAAUGUGGUUCUCACAAGAGAGAAAUAGAUUUUCUGCUUUGGCUGUUUAUAAGAACUUCAGAUGAUAAACGAGCUGAUAACAACAGUA